GGACGCAUCACUGGUGUUCGGGUUGUCAUGCCAAUGGCACUGCCCGGUAGCUAAAUGCGGAAGAGAUAAGUGCUGAAAGCAUCUAAGCACGAAACUUGCCCCGAGAUGAGUUCUCCCUGAGACUUUAAGUCUCCUGAAGGAACGUUGAAGACGACGACGUUGAUAGGCCGGGUGUGUAAGCGCAGCGAUGCGUUGAGCUAACCGGUACUAAUGAACCGUGAGGCUUAACCUUACACCGCCGAAG
rnacentral:rRNA from 1 species